AUAACUACCGGAAACGGUGGCUAAUACCGGAUAUGAGGUGCCUGGGCAUCUGGGCGCCUGGAAAGUUUUUCGGUCAGGGAUGGGCUCGCGGCCUAUCAGCUUGUUGGUGGGGUGAUGGCCUACCAAGGCGACGACGGGUAGCCGGCCUGAGAGGGCGACCGGCCACACUGGGACUGAGACACGGCCCAGACUCCUACGGGAGGCAGCAGUGGGGAAUAUUGCACAAUGGGCGCAAGCCUGAUGCAGCGACGCCGCGUGCGGGAUGACGGCCUUCGGGUUGUAAACCGCUUUCAGCAGGGAAGAAGCGCAAGUGACGGUACCUGCAGAAGAAGCGCCGGCUAACUACGUGCCAGCAGCCGCGGUAAUACGUAGGGGCGCAAGCGUUGUCCCGGAAUUAUUGGGCGUAAAGAGCUCGUAGGCGGUUUGUCGCGUCUGCUGUGAAAUCCUCAGGCUCAACCUGGGGCUUGCAGUGGGUACGGGCAGACUAGAGUGCGGUAGGGGUGACUGGAAUUCCUGGUGUAGCGGUGGAAUGCGCAGAUAUCAGGAGGAACACCGAUGGCGAAGGCAGGUCACUGGGCCGCAACUGACGCUGAGGAGCGAAAGCAUGGGGAGCGAACAGGAUUAGAUACCCUGGUAGUCCAUGCCGUAAACGUUGGGCACUAGGUGUGGGGUCCAUUCCACGGAUUCCGUGCCGCAGCAAACGCAUUAAGUGCCCCGCCUGGGGAGUACGGCCGCAAGGCUAAAACUCAAAGAAAUUGACGGGGGCCCGCACAAGCGGCGGAGCAUGCGGAUUAAUUCGAUGCAACGCGAAGAACCUUACCAAGGCUUGACAUACACCGGAAAAGUUGCAGAGAUGUGCUCCCCCUNAAGGUCGGUGUUACAGGUGGGUGCAUGGUUGUCCUCACCUCCUGUCCUGAAAAUGUUUNGGGUUAAGUCCCGCAACGAGCGCAACCCUCGUUCCCAUGUUGCCANNNGCGGGUUAUGCCGGGGACUCAUGGGAGACUGCCGGGGUCAACUCGGAGGAAGGUGGGGAUGACGUCAAAUCAUCAUGCCCCUUAUGUCUUGGGCUUCACGCAUGCUACAAUGGCCGGUACAAAGGGCUGCGAUACCGCAAGGUGG
rnacentral:rRNA from 1 species